CAGGCUCGUCCUCCUGGAGCUGCGGCGCUUCGUCCCAACUAAAGAUCAUCACUGAGAAGGCACAAGUGGUGCAGGCAUGAUGGUCGAAAGACUCGGUUUUGGAGAUGAUCGUAGUGUAGAAAAUGGUCUCAGAGUAAAAAUCGCACGUGCGAAUUCAGAAUUUGAGAGCUUUAGAACUCGGACUGCUCUGACUGGCUUUAGUGCUGUUGGAGGACGUGCUGAUUGACAGCUGGUUCCAGGCCGCUCAACAACUGGACAGGAAGUUCCAGCCCAGCGAGACAAUGACAGGAGAAAGGGAGGAGCCUGAUGACAUGAUGCUGGUGGAGAAAAAGCCUUUUCAGGUUUAUG
ensembl:lncRNA